AAAAAAAUUACAUAGGAAAGCAUGUAAGUUUGCAGAGAGAAGUGGCAUGAGACAAGUAGGAAGAUUCUGGAACUUUGAAGAACGGGUUAGACUGGUACUGAGGCUGUUAGCUGCUCUCUCUGGUUUUGACCUGGAGGAGACAGGCUACUGGCCCUUGGCUGUUUCUACCUUAUUGUUUCCAGUCUGACUUGACUCCCUGCUGGCUGGUAUCUACAGAUCUUCUUGGUGUGAUCCUGAACCAUCUGUCUGUAAGAUUAGGGCUAAGGUCCAUCUGGAUCCAAGACCUCUCCUGGGCCCUGUUCUGCCUAACUGACAAAACCCACUACCUCUAUCACCAGGAAAAAUGAGGAUAUUGAAGCCCAGAGAGGUAAGGUAACUUGUACAAUAAUACAGAGAGUAGACUAGAGGAAAUGUUCAGAAGUACAAGAUAUAAGUUCUGCUGACCAAUAGAUUACUAUCCAGUUGAGAUUCCUUUGGAGGAAAUGAAAAUAAGGGGCCAGAAGAAAUUUUCCUGUAUCAUUAAGGAGAUCAUCUAUGGAAGUGACAGAGAACAUUUUAGAGACUUCAUGCCCAAACUACAAUCUUCAUACCACAUGCUCUUGCCUUCUGUAGAUGUCUUAGAAAGGGAAUUCAGGAAAGAUUCUGAUUUUCUGGAGUCAUUAUAAAUGAGGACAGUAACGACCACUUAUGAGGAAUCUGACAACUAUGCAAGUGAAUGAACACAAUAAAGGGUUUCUUUCCAGCAAUGCAAGAUGGUAAAGGAAAUGGACUGCUUUUUAAUGUACACAAACUGGUUUAAUUGCAGCUACUUUUCUCAAUAAUUUGGUCUUCCUUGAUCCAAUAUGAUUCCUCCACUUGAAAGAAUUCAUCUAAAAUCUGUGCCAUUCAUAUUAUGAUAAAAUGCAAUAAGGCAGUGACUCAUCCUCUAAUCAAAUUUCCAUGAUAGAAUAACAAUAUAGAACAACACCAAUAUACCAUACCCAACCCCAGGAGUAGCUUUAAAAUCACUCUGUGCUCCUCUGUUCACAGGUACCAGAAAGAGCUUUCCAGUCAGCCAAAAUAAGCAAGCACUUCUUUGUGUAAUUUGAGAGUCACCCCCAAAAUGACAUGUAUUUGGAACUUUCUCCUCCAACAAUUGAGUUUCAGUCAUAAUUUAGAUUAAGACAUUGUUAUCAAGUAAUAUUCUUGUACCAUCUUCAAGUAAUUCAUUGGGCACCUACUAUGUACCACACACGGGGGAUACAGAGAUAAAAAAUAAAAAUCCCUGCACUCUAGAAGCUUACUUUACAGCUGGGGAGACAACAUACACACAUAUGUUUAUGUAAAGAAAGAGAUUCCAGUAACCUUGUAAGGGGGAGGCAUUGGCAGCUAAUGGCCCUACAGAAUACCUCACAAGGAAGGAUGCACUUGAACUGAUUCCUUAAGGAAGAGGUGAGAGGUAGAAGGAAGUGCAUUUAAGCAAUAGAAAGAGUCCAUGCAAAAGUAUGGAGAUGGGUGACAAAAUGUCUUAUAAAGGAUAAAUUUCAUUAGUCAUAUCCUUUCCAAAAUGUAGGCUAAGAGCAAGUUUUGAUAGGAGGAUGAAGAGAUUGUCUCGAGUAUGAGACACCACUUGAGAAGGGCUGGUUGGAAUAAGGGUGAUGCCUAGGCAAGGGAGAAAUAAAGACAUAUUUAAAUAUAGCAUCCACAAAGUAGCAGGAAUUACAGUAAGCACUUUUACAGAUAUUCUUUCAUUUUACAGUUGAAGAAAUUGACAAAAGCAGAGAAAAAGUGACUUGUCUAGGGUCACAUAGAUGUUAAGGCUCUAAGGUUGAAUUUGCACUCAGGUUUCCCUCACUCCGGAACUGGUACUCUGUACCAUGGUGCUACCUGUCUCCUAGGUAGGGUAAUACAAAGGACAAAAGGAUCACCUCUUAGCUGUGAUAGGAUCAACUCAGAGCAUCACCAAAAGAACACAAUCUAACUCACCAUUCUUCUUUUGUGAAAAGGAAGCACCACUUUCAGUUAAAUCAGUCUUGCUCAUAGGUGGAACAAGGCAAUUUAUCAUAAGCACAUUUUGGUCCUUUUUACCACCUUGGCAAAAGAAUUCAACAGCAAAGGGUAAAGCAGUGCCAGUGGCACAGCAGGACAAACAACCACAGUGGUGGCAUAGAACCCUUUCCUUCCCCCAGCAUCUAGGACAUCAGCUUGCACAUAGUAGGUGCUUCAUACGUUUGUUCAAUUUAUUUGUUCAAUUAUGCUUGCCAUGUAUAAUCAGACCCUUGACUCUCACUUUCUUCCUCAUUUGUACUUCUGUAACCAUACACUGAGAUAAUUAGGUUGCAAAGUUUGAUGACCAGACUUGCUGAAAUAAAU